rnacentral:rRNA from 1 species
AGUGAACGCUGGCGGUAGGCCUAACACAUGCAAGUCGAACGGCAGCACAGAGGAGCUUGCUCCUUGGGUGGCGGGUGGCGGACGGGUGAGGAAUACAUCGGAAUCUACUCUGUCGUGGGGGAUAACGUAGGGAAACUUACGCUAAUACCGCAUACGACCUACGGGUGAAAGCAGGGGAUCUUCGGACCUUGCGCGAUUGAAUGAGCCGAUGUCGGAUUAGCUAGUUGGCGGGGUAAAGGCCCACCAAGGCGACGAUCCGUAGCUGGUCUGAGAGGAUGAUCAGCCACACUGGAACUGAGACACGGUCCAGACUCCUACGGGAGGCAGCAGUGGGGAAUAUUGGACAAUGGGCGCAAGCCUGAUCCAGCCAUACCGCGUGGGUGAAGAAGGCCUUCGGGUUGUAAAGCCCUUUUGUUGGGAAAGAAAUCCAGCUGGUUAAUACCCGGUUGGGAUGACGGUACCCAAAGAAUAAGCACCGGCUAACUUCGUGCCAGCCGCCGCAGUAA